rnacentral:lncRNA from 1 species
UAUGGGGUUAUGGGGUGGUGGGGUGGAUAUGGGGUUAUGGGGUUAUGGGGUGGAUAUGGGGUUAUGGGGUUAUGGGGUGGAUAUGGGGUUAUGGGGUGGAUAUGGGGUUAUGGGGUUAUGGGGUUUAUGGGGUAUAUGGGGGCUAUGGGGUCUAUGGGGUCUAUGGGGUCUAUGGGGGCUAUGGGGUAUAUGGGGUCUAUGGGGGCUAUGGGGACUAUGGGGUCUAUGGGGUCUAUGGGGUUUGGGUGACCCUAUAUGGGGGCUAUGGGGUUUAUGGGGUUUGGGUGACCCUAUAUGGGGGCUAUGGGAGCUAUGGGGUCUAUGGGGGCUAUGGGAGCUAUGGGCUCUAUGGGGUCUGUGGGGUCUAUGGGGUCUGUAGGGCCUAUGGGGUCUAUGGGGUCUAUGGGGUCUAUGGGUUGGAUAUGGGGUUAUGGGGUUAUGGGGUCUGUGGGGUAUAUGGGGUCUGUGGGGUCUAUGGGGGUGUAUGGGGUCUGUGGGGUUUAUAGGGUCUAUGGGGGUCUAUGGGUUCUAUGGGGUAUAUGGGGUCUGUGGGGUCUAUGGGGGCUAUGGGGUUUGGGUGACCCUAUAUGGGGUCUAUGGGGUCUAUGGGGUUGGAUGUGGCUGGAGCAGUUUGAGAUGGCGCUGUAUGGAAACCCCAUAGAUCUUAUGGGGUUAUGGGCUCCAACGUGUUUCCCGCACACGCUCAGUCGGACGGACACGACUUCGCCAUGUGCUCAUUCGAGGAGACCACGACAUGCAGGGCCUGUACCAUGCUAUUGAGGUGGGUAUAGGGGAUAUAGGGUUAUAUAGGGUUAUUAUGGGGUCAUAUAGGGGAUAUAGGGUCAUAUAGGGUUAUUAUGGGGUUAUGGGUUACUGCAGGGCCUGUACCAUGCUAUUGAGGUGGGAUAUAGGGGAUAUAGGGGAUAUGGGGUUAUAUAGGGUCAUAUAGGGGAUAUAGGGUAUGGGGAGACCACAACCUGCAGGGCCUGUACCACGUUAAUGAGGUGGGACAUAUAGGGUUAUAUGGGGUUAUAUAGGGUUAUUAUGGGGUCAUAUAGGGUUAUAUAGGGGAUAUAGGGUCAUAU